AGUUUUGUAGGCAUUUAACAUUUCUUUCUAUUCCUUUGUGCUCUUUUUAGAAGAUAUUAUCUUUGAAACUUUACUUAAACACUCAAAUUACUGGAAGCGGCUUAAUGAAACUUAUAUGAAUGCUAAAGUUUGGGCAAGGUGCUCGGAUGAAUCAUUAUGCAUUAAUGGAUUGAAUCCUACUUGUGUUGUUGUGAUUGUAUGGUUAAUUCUUGUUUUUGUUUAUCUUUAAUUGAUUAUAGAGAAAUAAUAUUAUUUGUGCAGGUCUCACAAGGAGCGGAAGACACUUUUCUAUUUUAACAGAAUCUUUGACAGUAUUACUUUUCUUUGGCCUUGCUACAAUGGCUGGAUGGUAAAACUAGAAUAAUAUGGUCACCCCGUGAACUGGGGAUUGAAGCAGUUGAAUCUUUUGUUGUUGCAAAAUGCUUCAAUUGAGCAGAAACAAGUUUUGCUAAUGCUGGAAGAACUAAAAUAGAAGAUUUCGUGAAUGAAGAGAUGCCAAGUACAUCUAGACAUCACUUUUUAGAAGAAAACUUUUGCGAGUCAUUAAAUGCAAAACUUUCCAAGUGAAAGGAGCUACUUUUGUUGUGUAACUGCAAAUGCGUUUUGAAGUGUAAAGAUAAAUCAAGGAGAAGCUUCCGAAACUAGCACCACUUUGGAUCCAAAUUUUG